GAGAAACGCUGGCGGCGCACAUAAGACAUGCAAGUCGAACGGAAUUUAGUCGAAUGUUUACAUGAGACGAAAAUUUAGUGGCGGACGGGUGAGUAACACGUGAGCAACCUGCCUUUAAGAGGGGGAUAACAUUGAGAAAUCAGUGCUAAUACCGCAUAAAGCUAUCAUACCGCAUGAUAAGAUAGCCAAAGGAGAAAUCCGCUUAAAGAUGGGCUCGCGGCUGAUUAGUUAGUUGGUGGGGUAACGGCCUACCAAGACGAUGAUCAGUAGCCGAGCUGAGAGGCACAACGGCCACAUUGGGACUGAGACACGGCCCAGACUCCUACGGGAGGCAGCAGUCGGGAAUAUUGCACAAUGGAGGAAACUCUGAUGCAGUGACGCCGCGUAUAGGAAGAAGGUCUUGGAUUGUAAACUAUUGUCGACAGGGAAGAAGAAAAUGACAGUACCUGUGGAGGAAGCUCCGGCUAACUACGUGCCAGCA
rnacentral:rRNA from 1 species